rnacentral:rRNA from 1 species
GACGAACGCUGGCGGCGUGCCUAAUACAUGCAAGUCGAACGAGUGGCGGACGGGUGAGUAACACGUGGGAACCUACCCAUCAGAGGGGGAUAACACUUGGAAACGGUGGCUAAUACCGCAUACUCUCGGAUGAACCCAUAUGGGAUUAGCUAGUAGUGGGGGUAAAGGCCCACGUACGCGACGAUUUCUAUCUGGGCUGAGAGGAUGAUGAGCCACACGUGGACUGAAAACCGACCCCGACUCCUACGGUCGGCAGCGGUGGGGAAUGUUGCACAAUGGGCGCAAGCUGGAUGCAGCGGUGCCGCGUGUAUGAAGAAGGCCUUAGUGUUGUAAUGUACUUUCAGCGUGGAGGCGUUACCCGCAGAAGAGGCACCGGCUAACUCCGUGGCAGCAGCCGCGGUAAUAC